rnacentral:rRNA from 1 species
GACGAACGCUGGCGGCGUGCUUAACACAUGCAAGUCGAACGGUAAGGCCCUUCGGGGUACACGAGUGGCGAACGGGUGAGUAACACGUGGGUGAUCUGCCCUGCACUUCGGGAUAAGCCUGGGAAACUGGGUCUAAUACCGGAUAGGACUCCGGACUGCAUGGUCUGGGGUGGAAAGCUUUUGCGGUGUGGGAUGGGCCCGCGGCCUAUCAGCUUGUUGGUGGGGUGAUGGCCUACCAAGGCGACGACGGGUAGCCGGCCUGAGAGGGUGACCGGCCACACUGGGGCUGAGAUACGGCCCAGACGCCUACGGGAGGCAGCAGUGGGGAAUAUUGCACAAUGGGCGCAAGCCUGAUGCAGCGACGCCGCGUGAGGGAUGACGGCCUUCGGGUUGUAAACCUCUUUCAGCAUCGACGAAGCGAAAGUGACGGUAGGUGCAGAAGAAGGACCGGCCAACUACGUGCCAGCAGCCGCCGUAA